UCCCAGUGUGAAAGGUACUAAUGAAUAUACAGAAAACAAACAAAGAAACUUGUAAAAAUGAGAUAACAUAGCACGCAAUAUUAGUCGGACCCAUUAUUUAGAUGAUUGAGUACUUAAAGUAAGUUCUUCUUGAAUGAGCAUUGAUUGACAUUGGUCUUUCAAAAUUUCAAAUUAAUCAAAGCCCUCACAUUCCGGAUACAAUACUAAAUUGCUUUUAAACUUUCUGUUGCCCGAUAAACACAUCCCAUCCUAGAUUCUAAAAUUAUAUACUAACUAAAUUAACUCUGUGAGUAUAUGCUUAAUUCUAUAUUUAAAUUAAAUGUUGCCAAUAAAUUACAAAUAUUUUGCUACUUCACGAAAUGACAGGCAAUCGCAAUUACCAAAUAUAGCAGUCAGCAGCGCUUCCUUUUUAUGUUAAGAAUAAUCAUCCGAAUAAAUUUCAAGGCUUAAUUAUGAAGUCGCUAACAAAGGACUACUUUUACUCGUUCAACUAUGCUUAAGAAAGCUCUAAAUUUUUAAAAAUAAGAAUUAAAACGACCGUUAAUUCUCUUAUAAAUGCAAUUCCAGGUUCUAAAGAGAGGUUACAUAACAAGCAGGAAAGAAUGACUGAUUAUUUUUCACGAAUUGUCUAUUUUUUUUCGGCCGAUAAGUUCAUUACAUGCUCGAUUUGUCUUUGCAAAAUAUCUUUCCGCGAUAUAUCAAAGCUAUUAAGCUAUUAAACAGUUCGUAAAUACCUGAAAACAGUUUGUUCAUAUAAAUAUGUGCAAUUCUUUAUGCGAACCGCCAUUAAACGAUAAAGAAUGCUGCGAUAACAACCAAAUCUCAAUACCAAAAGUGUAAAGAUU